CACUCUAAGUUCGGAUACCAAGC
rnacentral:miRNA from 1 species